rnacentral:rRNA from 1 species
CCGGAGAUGGAACCUGAGACAAGGUUCCAGACCCUACGGGGUGCAGCAGGCGCGAAACCUCCGCAAUGUGAGAAAUCGCGACGGGGGGAUCCCAAGUGUCUUUCUUAACGGGAAGGCUUUUCUUAAGUGUAAAAAGCUUUUGGAAUAAGAGCUGGGCAAGACCG